GUGAGGGAAAGGUGAAAAGAACCCCUGGCGGGGAGUGAAAGAGAACCUGAAACCGUAUGUCUACAAACAGUCGAAGUCUGUAUAUAUAUCAGGACGACGGCGUGCCUAUUGAAGAAUGAACCGACGAGUUACUGUUGCUAGCGAGGUUAAGUGGAAAACACGGAGCCGCAGCGAAAGCGAGUCUGAACAGGGCGUUCAGUUAG
rnacentral:rRNA from 1 species